ACAGAGUCAAGAGGCCUAAAUGAUGGGUUUAUGUUCAACAGGCCGAAAUGUUAAACAGGCCGAAUUAAAAAUUGAAACCCACAAACACAAUAAUCUGUAUCUAACGUGGACAAUUUGUAGAAUAUGAUUGGCUGAUUAUAAUUGAUGACGUGGACAGCAUGAGGGGAGCCCUUAUUCCCCUUUUAGUAUUGUAUUGAUACAUUUUUAUGAAUAUUUUAGAUAAAAAAGAAAUAUAGUCACUUUUUUAAUGUUAUAUAUCAUUAACUUUAUAAAUGUAAAUGAUAAUUUAAUUUUUAUAUAAAUAAAUUUAGUUAACAAUAAAAUUAUAAUUUUUAAAAUAACUAUAAAACAAAAAACAAUUUUUGAUUGAUUAAUUUUCAACCAUUGAUUGCAUUUAAUCCAAUGGUUACAAAUCAAUUUUAGUCAAUCCUCAUCCUUUCUCCUUGUUGGUCAAUCUAUCAAAAUUAGGAUUAGAAUUUCUGUCCAUUGAUUGUUUUUGAUCUUGUGGUCUAAGAUCAAUCUUCUCUUUACGAUACUAAAAUCACAAAGUCUUCUCUUCUCCUUCGCUAGAGAGUCAUGUUUCCACUCUGGUCUUAUCCUUUGGUUCAUCCUCCCGAAGCUUUGUCAUUCACAACAGCGAGCAUACCAAGAGUCGCAAAGAACCCUAACCGCCGCACAAACAAACCUUUUCGACGAUAUCAGCAUCUAUCCUUUCUCUUCAAGAGAUUCAGAGAUGGCAGAGCAUCACCGGUGGCAAGAUGAAAGGCAUAGGAGCUACGUGUACCAGCGUUAGUGGCAAAGCGGAGCACCGGAGGAGGCAUAAGAAAAAGGCUGAUGACGGUGCCUCAAACUUCUCUCCGCUUAGACAGAGGAAGAGGAAAACAGUGUUGGCAGAUCUCGAGCUUCUCUCUUCUGCGUCUCCGGUGAAGCUCUCCGACGCUGCCGCUGCCGCUGCUCACCUCGCCGGAUUUGAUGGAGAAGACAACACCAUGCGGCUGAGAAGAUUACAUCUAGGUUUUUUUUUCUGUUUAGUUUUGUUUUUUAAUUUAGAUUUAGAUUAUUGUAAUUCAGUUUUAAUUCAUGAAUCAAUUUUAGUCUACAAAGAAAAAACAAAAAAAAAGGAGAAGAACUUAAAGUUCGAAACAAAAUGGAGGAGAAGAGUUUUACCUACUCGACACGUGGCGAGAAAAUGAGAUAGGAGAGGUGAGGUGGCGCUCUAAGGAGCCUUUCUCUUCUACUUUAUUAAUAUAGAUAUUAUAACUUUUCUAAAACGUGUAUAGGUCGAUUUACCUUGUCAGAAAUAUCAAAAAGAUUAUUUGUAAUAUUCUAACUUCUGUAAAACGGAUAUUCUUUUUUUUAAUUAAAUUUUUUAUUAAACUUUU